UACGUAGGGGGCAAGCGUUGUCCGGAAUCAUUGGGCGUAAAGAGCGUGUAGGCGGCCCGGUAAGUCCGCCGUGAAAGUCCAGGGCUCAACCCUGGGAUGCCGGUGGAAACUGUCGGGCUAGAGUCCGGAAGAGGCGAGUGGAAUUCCCGGUGUAGCGGUGAAAUGCGCAGAUAUCGGGAGGAACACCAAUGGCGAAGGCAGCUCGCUGGGACGGUACUGACGCUGAGACGCGAAAGCGUGGGGAGCAAACAGG
rnacentral:rRNA from 1 species